rnacentral:tRNA from 1 species
UAGCUCAGUGGUAGAGCAUUUGCCUAGCAUGUAUGAGGCCUUGGGUUCAAUCCCAA